GCCGAUAUAGCUCAGAGGUAGAGCACUUCCAUGGUAAGGAAGGGGUCGUCGGUUCAAUUCCGACUAUCGGCU
rnacentral:tRNA from 1 species